rnacentral:rRNA from 1 species
GAAGGCAGCAUGCUGGGAAAUACUGACGCUCAUGGACGAAGCGUGGGGAGCGAACGGGAUUAGAUACCCCGGUAGUCCACGCUGUAAACGAUGGAUACUAGUUGUUGGAGGGCUCGAACCCUUCAGUGACGACGCUAACGCAAUAAGUAUCCCCGCCUGGGGAGUACGGUCGCAAGACUAAAACUCGAAGGAAUAGACGGGGACCCACACAAGCGGUGGAGCACCUGGCUUAAUUCGAUAUUGAGCGAGGAACCUUACCUGGGCUUGACAUCCCGAGAAUCUUCUGGAAACAGAGGAGUGCCUUACGGAACUCGGUGACAGGUGUUGCAUGGUUGUCGUCAGCUCGUGCCUUGAGGUGUUCGGUUAAGUCCGUAAACGAGCGCAACCCAUGUCUUGUGUUGCAAUUUUCACAAGAGACUGCCGAUUCAAAGUCGGAGGAAGGUAUGGAUGACGUCAAAUCAGCAUGACCCUUAUGCCCAGGGCUGCACAGGUGCUACAAUGGACGGUACAAUGGGUAGCAAUGUCGUAAGACGGAGCCAAUCCCUAAAACCGUUCUAAGUUCGAAUUGAGGGCUGCAACUCGCCCUCAUGAAGUUGGAAUCGCUAGUAAACGCGGAUCAGCAAUGGCGCGUUGAAUAUGUUCCUGGGUCUUGUACUCACCGCCCGUCAAGUCAUGAAAGGUGGGAGCACCCGAAGUACCCUUAGCUUUUAGCGGGGUCCUAAGGUGAGAUCACUGAUUGGGACUAAGUCGUAACAAGGUAUACCGUAGGAGAACCUGCGGCUGGAUCACG